CAGCUGCAACUCUUCAGGGGAUAAGAUUACAUUCUAUACCACCUUCAUUUACCCCCAACAAAUGUCUGCUACAUGACUGACUAUGAAAAGAACUGUAUGAAGAAACCAACAGGAUAAACAGGCGCAGCUCCCUCAGCUGUUCCGCAUAAGUGACCUGUUCCAGUCCCCUCAUCAUCUUUGUUGCCCUUCACUGGACCUGUUCCAGGAGCUCCCUGUCUCUCUUGUCCUGAGGAGCCCAGAACUGGACACAGCACUCCAGGUGUUCUUCAUAGUGGAACUAAUUAUAUACGAAGACAUGAACACUUCCUUUGAGGGGAAACAUAAAGUCAUCAGUGUUUGUUUCCAAGUCAAACAAGAUUUUGCUGGGUUUGCUCAAUGUGGCAUGGCCAACACAGUUGCAGCAUCUGAUUCCUAUGUUGUUUGUCCAAAUUUGUUCCAUGCUUUCUCAUCAAGGUGAAGAUGAGAUGAAGACAUAAUCAACCAAAAGGACAUGAUACUCACUCUAUUCAGUGACUUGGACAAGUCUUGUGAAGAACAAAGCAGUCUUUCAUCUCACCAGUAACAUGUGACCUGGACAAAAAACAUGCAAAUUUUUAAAAAACAAUUGAGAUUCUUUCGUUUGUGCGGACCAGUGGUCAGACAUCUCGUGUCCAACACCGACGUGCUCUGCAAGCAAUGGCUCUAUGAGGAUUCAUUCAUAUUGAUAAGUGCUGGGCUCAAGUGGUGGUGCAUGACCCCCUUCUAGGUGAAGCCAGAGCAUCAAUAAUGAAAUGUCAUAUAUCCAGCUAAAUGAACAAGGAUUUAUGACAGGUUGGACUAGAGCAGAGAAAUGGCACACCUCCUUCCAUAACAUUUGUUUCACUCUGAAAUCAUCUUUCUGGAGCUUGGAUGCCUAGAGCUAUUGCAGAUGAGAUACUCCUGCUCCUGCCCAUCAAAUAACCCAACUGCUUUCCCGCACUGCUGUGGCCAGUGUCACCUGGUGCACUUCUCUCCUACAGCCAUGUCACACCAGUGACUCAUGAAUCAUUCUGAGAUCAACCUCUGUGUCCCACCACAGCUGUUUCCCGCCAGUAAGCUCACAAAUGAACAGAAACUCUCAGUAUUAGUCCCAAAGAAUACUUGUGCUUGACAGUACUUCAUUUUAUCCCUUGUGUAUGGUUCCAGUUCUUACAGCCACCCAGGUCUUCCUGGGCACUGCCGCCGCCUUCUGUGUUAGUGAGAGACACGUUUUGCUGCCAGCAAACUCCAUUAUCACACUCCUGUAUCUCCCAACUGAACUGUUUAAUGAAAUGACAAAGCAAGUGUUGUUUGAAGAAUGACCCUCUAAGAGCUCCAGCAAUAACACCACAUAACAGCAAUUUCCCUUUCAAUGCCACUUUCCCCCCUCACAAUACUGGCAUCUCAAUAAUUAGCACUCAGCAUCAUUUAUUUAUUAAUCAGUGCUGAGCACUGAUUAUCAUGUGCACUGAAGGUACAUCAGGCAGGAGUCCUGCAGGAAAAAUAUGUUCUUAUUUAGGUACACACUGUCUAUUGAUGCAUGCUUACCUAAUGACCAAAAUGACCAUUUAUAUAAAUCUGGGGGUUUUUUAUGAUCAAUAAAGAAAUAUUGUUCUACUGUACUAACAAUAGUUGAAUGUGAAAAUGCUAAGAGGCAGAAAAUGAGUAUCUCUUUUUUUGCUAUUUUUUGGGCAAAAUAUUUUGUUUCAUAAAUGAUGAAAAUUUUUUUGAAGUUUUAUUUUGA